UAAUUAUCUAUACGCCUUUAAAAUUUUCUAAAAUAUUUUAUUUUUUCCUAUUUUUUUUCAAACAUAUCGCUCAUAUAUUUCUCCGUUAUUUAAAAAUACUUCUAUUGUUAGUGCCCGUUAAGUAAUCUCAUGUUAAAUCUAAGUUAAAUUUCUACCAUAAUUAAAAAUAAAAAAAUACUUUUAUCCAUAACUUAAGGACAAAUAAGAAAAGUUGAUGACAGUAAAAGAAUAAAUUUGAAAAAGUAAAAUGAUAAUUUUGCAGGAGUAACAGUUGUUGCUAACACUUUUCUAGCAAAAUUUAACUCUAAAAAUAUAUUUGAAAGGAUUUAAAAUUUUUUAAAAAUACUUUUCAUAUUAACUUUUAAAAGGGAUAAAUAAAAAAGUUAAAAUUUUUUUAAAAA
rnacentral:lncRNA from 1 species